AGGACGAACGCUGGCGGCGUGCCUAACACACGCAAGUCGAGCGAGGAGAUCCUCGGGAUGAUCCUAGCGGCGGACGGGUGAGUAACACGUGGGCAACCUGCCUCAUAGAGAGGAAUAGCCUUCCGAAAGGGAGAUUAAUACCUCAUAACAUUGCAGUUUCGCAUGGAACAGCAAUUAAAGGAGUAAUCCGCUAUGAGAUGGGCCCGCGGCGCAUUAGCUAGUUGGUGAGGUAACGGCUCACCAAGGCGACGAUGCGUAGCCGACCUGAGAGGGUGAUCGGCCACAUUGGGACUGAGACACGGCCCAGACUCCUACGGGAGGCAGCAGUGGGGAAUAUUGCACAAUGGGGGAAACCCUGAUGCAAGCAACGCCGCGUGAGUGAUGACGGCCUUCGGGUUGUAAAGCUCUGUCUUCAGGGACGAUAAUGACGGUACCUGAGGAGGAAGCCACGGCUAACUACGUGCCAGCCGCAGC
rnacentral:rRNA from 1 species